rnacentral:rRNA from 1 species
GAUGAACGCUGGCGGCGUGCCUAAUACAUGCAAGUCGAGCGAACAUACGAGGAUCUUGCUCCUCUGACGUUAGCGGCGGACGGGUGAGUAACACGUGGAUAACCUACCUAUAAGACUUGGAUAACUUCGGGAAACCGGAGCUAAUACCGGAUAAUAUAUUGAACCGCAUGGUUCAUUAGUGAAAGACGGUUUUGCUGUCACUUAUAGAUGGAUCCGCGCCGCAUUAGCUAGUUGGUAAGGUAACGGCUUACCAAGGCAACGAUGCGUAGCCGACCUGAGAGGGUGAUCGGCCACACAGGAACUGAGACACGGUCGAGACUCCUACGGGAGGCAGCAGUAGGGAAUCUGCCGCAAUGGGCGAAAGCCUGACGGAGCAACGCCGCGUGAGUGAUGAAGGUCUUCGGAUCGUAAAACUCUGUUAUUAGGGAAGAACAAAUGUGGAAGUAACUAUGCACGUCUUGACGGUACCUAAUCAGAAAGCCACGGCUAAAUACGUG